rnacentral:tRNA from 2 species
GCCCGCUUGGCUCAGCGGUAGAGCACUCGCUUCACACGCGAGGGGUCAGUAGUUCGAAUCUACUAGCGGGCACCA